rnacentral:rRNA from 1 species
UACGGAGGGUGCAAGCGUUAUCCGGAUUUACUGGGCGUAAAGGGCGCGUAGGCGGUCAGCACAAGUCAGUUGUGAAAUCUCCGGGCUUAACUCGGAAAGGUCAACUGAUACUGUCGGACUAGAGUGCAGAAGGGGCAACUGGAAUUCUCGGUGUAGCGGUGAAAUGCGUAGAUAUCGAGAGGAACACCUGCGGCGAAGGCGGGUUGCUGGGCUGACACUGACGCUGAGGCGCGAAAGCUAGGGGAGCGAACGGG